rnacentral:rRNA from 1 species
GUGGGGAAUAUUGGACAAUGGGGGGAACCCUGAUCCAGCCAUGCCGCGUGUGUGAAGAAGGCCUUUUGGUUGUAAAGCACUUUAAGCGAGGAGGAGGCUACCGAGAUUAAUACUCUUGGAUAGUGGACGUUACUCGCAGAAUAAGCACCGGCUAACUCUGUGCCAGCAGCCGCGGUAAUACAGAGGGUGCAAGCGUUAAUCGGAUUUACUGGGCGUAAAGCGCGCGUAGGUGGCCAAUUAAGUCAAAUGUGAAAUCCCCGAGCUUAACUUGGGAAUUGCAUUCGAUACUGGUUGGCUAGAGUAUGGGAGAGGAUGGUAGAAUUCCAGGUGUAGCUGUGAAAUGCGUAGAGAUCUGGAGGAAUACCGAUGGCGAAGGCAGCCAUCUGGCCUAAUACUGACACUGAGGUGCGAAAGCAUGGGGAGCAAACAGGAUUAGAUACCCGUGUAGUCC